GGGUUGGGUGGUGGAGAGCGCGUGUCAUCUGCGGGUGGCACUGCCCACGGUGGGCGGGCGGGCCCCUCUACUCGAAGGUGACCACGUUUAGAUUCUGAGACGGGAAGUGGAGGGUGAAUAGGUCACGGCGGCCUUUUUUUUUUAGUUUAACUUUUCCUUUUUUGCCGUCUGGUCAUCCUCGUCGGUCUUCUGCUUCUGGGUAUCGACAUCGUUAUCCUCAUCAUCUUCAGCUGCCCGCUUGCCCGUAGCUGACUCAGCUCCCUCAUCUUCAUCUCCAUCCUCUUCCUCACCAUCACCUUCUUCCUCCCCACCUUCUUCCUCUUCUUCAUCUACCUCGUUGUCAGCCUCCGGCUCCCCAUUUUCCUCAUUAGCAUUCCCGUGAGCAGGGGCGUCUCUUCCAUUUUCCGCCUCUUCCACAACUUCCUUCUUCUCCUUUAAGUCCUCGGUGGUGAUUUCGGAGCUGGUGUCUACGGCUGCGUCUGACAUGGUGGGGCACGCCGGUGACGCGAUGCAGGGGAUAAAAAAGAAAGCGACAGUUCAGGGACUCUGGCGAUAAAGCUGCCGGAGUCCGCGGCGGCGGAGGCGGCUGCGGCGAGCAAGGAGGCUGACGACGCACAAUGCAAAGACGGCUUUUCAGAGCAGCCAGUGGGGCAGGACAAUGUUUUUCAUCAAAUGUCCUUAGAUUUGGAGGAGGGUAAGAGUUGUUUUUUUUUUCUCUCUCUCUCUCAGAGAAAAGCAUGCCCCCAAAAGACAUUCCACAACUGCAUACUCUGGCAAGUCACUUAACAUGAAAUUUUUCUCUAUAUAUUACACUUACCUGAUGCACAGGGCAGCGUGUUGAAAGUUUCCUCCUUUGCUAUUCCUUCAGGCUUUAUAUUGACAAAAAAAAAAAAAAAAAGUAAAGCGAUACUGAAUGUAUAAAAGAAAAAUUAAACACUUGAAAGCAAAGGAGAAAAUGGUGGUGAAAAAUUGGAUUGUAGAUCUAUCCACAUUCUUGGGAAUUAAAUGUCACUGUGAGAUGCAUGUUAGAUAAUACUGUAUGAAAUAAUAAGGGCUCUGAGACUCACAGAGAGUAGACUUACGUACCUCAACUAGUAAGGCCUUGACUACAGUGUCCUUCUGCGCAAGUGGUGGGACGUCAGUCAACUCAUUGUCACACACUUCCUGAGAAUGCAUGGCUUCCGCAGUGGCUGUGAAAUUCACCUUUCCUGGGGAAUAAAGUUCUUAAGAGUUAAACGGUGAUUCUAUAUUGAACAGUUUCUUCUUUUCCAGUUUCCCCAGUGUAUCCAGUGGUUGUCUUCCUCUUGAUUAAUAUUAAAGGAGGAGAAAAAGUGUGUAUUGGGGUCAGUGCAGAAAACAAAUCAUCCAAGCACACGAAGUGGAAUUUGCUAAUAGCAUUACUACUCACCCAGUGACUUCGGAGUCACAACCCAGGACACGGUUUUCCGCCCAUUUCUACAGACACAGUGAGAUUCUUCAUUCUUCUCUGUUGGAACAGCCAGGAAAGCGGAAGAGACCUCCAGCUGCACAACGACCUGUCCCCCACACCCAACCACAAGUUUAUGAAGGGAUGCAGAACAGCAUGAAUACUGCAAAAGAUGCUCUGUGCAUCAGGUAAAUGGACUGAGGGACAAUGUCCAUGAGUCCAGAGGCGCUGAGAAGCUGUGCAAAUAUGGUCAGCUCUAUCAGACACUUUGUAGUUUAGGUGUUUGAAACAAGAAAAUUGAAAAACUGACAGGAAUUAGGAUAAGUGUUUAGGAUUUAGCCUUGUGCCAACAGAAGAAAGAGGUGUUUAGUGAAAAACAUGAAACAAUCAGGUGGACAUAAUGUCUGAAUUUAGGAAUACACAGAUAUAGGAGCCUGAAUGAAUAUAACCUUACCACCUUGGGCCUGUCAGGUACCUUUUCUCUUAGUACCAGGUCUGCUCCAAAAUUAGGAUAUAUCAUAUGCAGUUCUGAUUUCCUGGGUUACCUAGGAGACCUGGUAAUGAAUGGUGACUAUCUUCUAUUCUCAUUCACUUCCAGAGAAGUGUCCUUACCCGAAUGCAGGUGGACAAGCAGUUAAACACAGUGGCUUUGAGUGUGAAGGCUUCUCCUCGCACCACAGAAUAAGGAAGGGUGAGUUCUAGGAAGAAAGGCUGGAAGGCUUGAAGAGACACGAUAGGAGAGAGGCCAAACCCUGUGGUUCCAGACAAGCAGAAUGCGCUGGCCUUCCACUCUGUGAUGGUUUCAGGGACCUGGUCACCAGCUCACUUAUACCUAAUGAGCUAGUGAAGGAGCAGAGAAGAGGAGUAUAAGCAAAUCUUUUUUUUUUUUUUUUAACACAAAGCAUGGCUGAUCCUAGAACAUGAUAACUCAGUAACCUAGUGUGGUAAAUGCUAAACUUGAUCUAAGGGUUGGUGCUCCUGGUGAGGUUUAAAGUUUUUUUUCUCCCUACCUCCCUUACUCCCUCCUUCCCUCCCUCCCUUUAUUUCUUCCUCUUUUCUUUCAUUCUUUCCUUCCUUUUGUUCUUUCUUUCAAUCUCCCUCCCCUCCCCUUCCCUUUCCUUUAUUUAAGAGGGCUGGUAGCAUCCUACUUUCUAUUAUCUUAGUUAUCAAUAGACUAAAUUAGAAAAAAAAUUAGCAUUGUUUAAUUAUGAGAUAAAUGAACUAUAAACCUAAAUAUUUACCAGAAAAGAGCAGAGCAGAACUAAAAGGAUCAGGAAUCCAGGAUAACAUCAGUCAUACAGCAGGAUUCAAACCCUCUCCUAAACUAAAUUCCAGGCAACACACAACUUACUCAACUACCACCAAAUCCCAGAUCCAGGUCUCAGGGAAGUACUUCCGGACUAUCUCUUUCACUUGCAAUAUCUGAGGUUCUUCUUCGAUCAUUGGGUACAUUAUUUCUACGGCUCCUGGGGGUACACCUCGCAGACCUGGUCCUGGAAGACAACACACAGGCCUCAGUGUGAACCUCAUUUUUAUCAUCAAUUUCUUAUUGCUGCCUUAUUUCUCAAAUGGAAUAAGGUCAUACGCUCAGGGAAUGUUUAUUAUUGGAACAAUUUAACCUACCAGCUUGUUAUUUUGUUCACUUUCCUAUAAAAAGGCUAAUCCUAUUUUUUCUUCAAAUAGAAUCUAGAGCUAAAUAUAUUUUUCUUUAUAAAUAAAAACAAAUGACCUGUACAUGUACCUCCUGAAUCUAAAAUAAAAGUUGAUUAAAAAAAAACAAAUGUAGCUCUCUCUAAGAUGAUUACUCAACUGGUGAAGGGAAGGAUAAAGAGUAAUUUAAUACACCAAAUAUUGCUUUUACACUGAAAUUGUGUUCACAUGUCUUCUGUUUGCAGUGAGAAUCAAACGAGGAAUGGAUAUUAGCUAAGCAAGAUGAUUUCGGGAAUGAUUUUUUGUUUGUUUGUUUGUUUCGACAUUGAAUUAAUAUGGAGACAUAAACAAUAAGCAACAGGAUUCAGUAAAGUAUGUAGUAUAGACAAUAGGGAGUCAGGAAUGAAAAGACAAUCAACUUUAGUUAGGCCGGAAAAGACUUUACCAAAGCGGAACCUAAGAUGAUCAUUCAUGGAUGGGAGGUGGAGGAGAAUGGGGAGUUAUUCCCAGGAAAGGACUGUGCAAAUAUAUAUACAAAGGUGGAAGGGUGCUUCACAGGGAUAGUAAAAAUUUACCCUCUAGAGUAGAAUGGCUAUUUUCAGGGUGUGUUUCCCAUAAUUAGGUAAACAGAAGGUAUAAUAUAUAAUAAAACAUAAGGCUAGGACAAAUGAAUAAGGUCUGUUAAGUGGGAGUUAGUUAGCUUGAUAAAAAAGAAAUUGAUAUUCCAGAAAUCAGAAGAUAUACAUAUAUAUAAGAUAUAUAUAAUCUUUACAUAUUGUUAACAUUAUCUUAAAUAUCUUUAUUAUAAUAUUAUUCUAUAAUAUAUCUUCUGAUCUCUGGGGCAUCACUUUUUAAAGAUAAUUAUAUACGUGUGUAAUUAUAAAUACAUAUAUGAUAUAUAUAUAAGAUAAUAGAGUUAGAUGUGCUCUUUCAAAACCUUAAAUGCAAUAAUCUUAUGAAUUCUGGAAGUAUUGACUAUGUUUGAGAAACAAGUGACAUGAGAAAAGCAGUGUUUAAGAGUAUGCAGGACAGAUAGAGGUAAAGAAAAGCUGGAGGCAAGGAAGUUAAAUUAGAAUGGUUUUUCAGUAAUCUAGUUAUGAAAUAAUGACAGACAGAUUAAAGUGCUGUAACUGAAAAUGAGAAGGAAGAAAAGGAUAAGCAACAAAUACCAAAAGAAAAAUUUGCAUAGAAUAUUACAGAACAUUUGGGGUCAAAGUGUAACGAUGUACUCUGAGUUUUCAGGUUUUCUGAAUCAUACCUUUGUUUCCAUUGAUCUGUUUUCUCUUAGGUUGGAAAGAAAAUACACACUUGGUGAAAUGAAAGUCAAUUAAUCAUGCUUUUCAGUUUCUUUUUUUUAAACAAACAUGCCAUUAAAGGAAUCAUGAUUUUUUUUUUUUCAUUUUAUGGUCACAAUACCUCAGUGAGUUUGGUGUUGUCAUUCUGACUUCAGAUUUAAAGAAACUGAGCCUCUAAAAGGUUAAGUGAGUCUGCAAAUUUCCAAAGUCACAUAGUCAUAGCAGAUAGGAGUGUGAUGAAAAAUUGUCCCUUUGUUCUUAAAACAGUGUUCUUUUUUCACUAUACAGGAUUUUUUUUUUUUUUCUGGUGAGGAAAUAUCCUUAAUGACUCCUUUGUUUUCAAUUAGAACAUUACUCCUUGCCUUCCCAGGCAGUGAAUCUGCUGUAUUAAAAUGUGUUUAUUCUUUUUUUUUUUUUAACACUUUUUACUGCCAUCCUCAUUUUUUAUUAAAAAGUAAAUUUGGUAGACAUUCAAGCAUGCAGAGAAAAAUUUCUCUAGGCCUGAUGGCAGUAGAAAAGAAUUUUGAGUUAGGCCUUUUGCAACAUUUCCUGAUUUCCAGGUAUACUUGAAACACACAAAGAGACUAUGCAGAGGUAGCGUAUCUGCCAAAAGUUGCAUUACUCUCUUUUGCUCAAUAUUACAUAAAUCCCUUCUCUUUCCAUAAGAAGAUAUGACAGAGACAGUUAAUAUCCACAUGAGCCUUCCCAUUUCUCAGCCUCCUUUGCAUUCAGGGCAGGAACAUGGGCGGAAGUGAUGUAUACCAUUCCCACUCCUGGCUUUAAGAGUCAAGUGCAACCUCCUUCCCCAUGGGUAUGACCUUGAAAGCCACGUUGGCGAUGGCAGAGUCACCAGAGGAAAGCAGACUGGUUCUCUCUGACUCACUGUUUGGCACGGGGCUGUUCUGGAGAGUGUCUGAACUCACAAGUAGAUUUUGUGUGAGCAAAAACCAAACCGUUAGGUGCUUACCCGCUGAGAUGUGGGAGUUUGUUUGUUACUGCCAUUGAAUCUAAUUCUGACUAAUUCAGGUAUUGACUCCAUCAUGGACAAGGAAGAUCUAAAAUGGCAAGACUAUUAAAAGCAAAAACAAAAAGUUAGUUGAUUUUGAUGUCAAAGAGAAAAUAAUAAUUGCUUAAAAAUCCUCUAUUUGAGGAAAAAGUAUUAUUUGGGGCUAACUUACCAAGAAGUUGCUGCAGUCUCAAGAUCCAAUACUUAGAAAAACAGGUUUUCAUCUUAAACCAACCCAAUAAAGCACCAUUUUUCUUCUAUUCUGUCAGACAAAUAAAUCACACCUUUACCUCCUAUUAUGCUGAUACGCAAUCCUCGUGGUAGACACAAAGUUGGCUUAUGGAUUUUUGAGUUGGUAAAAAUAUCUAAUCCUAUGGACUGAAAAAAAUUGUUAAAGCAUAGCGGCAAUCCAAUCUUGAGACUGCUUAACUCGUUCCUGUGGUCCUUUCCUCUUUUUUCUCAGUUUCUUCUAGUCGUCUCAAAUGUCUGCAUCUAAAACCCACAUUCAGAUGCCCACGGUUGUCUACAGUCCACCUGUUUCCAGCUUCCCCCUUCUUCAAUGUUAGUCACAGAUAAAUAUUAUUUGCUAUUUUAUCUCAGAGUAUUUGGGAAACUGUGGGACUCUUGAACACAGUUGUCAGUGAGGGUUGUGUACGCAACAGAAAGAAAUAAACCAGAAAUAAAUAUUUAGAGAUUAAACAGCUGGUUAAUAAACCAAGAAGUAUUCUUUUCAUCCUUCUACCAUCUGAUUUGUGAUUCCAGAACGUCCAGAAGAGAGAGAUUUAAAUUGCUUUCAGCUAAGCUGUAGACCUCUAGCAGAUGAACGACAUAUUUUCCUGAAGGACUUGCUUCGGUGUGGAAGUGAUUCCGCUGUGAGUUGUGUCUUUUGCGUUGUUGCACUCUUCAUCAUAUUCAUCCGCAGGACCUCCAGCUCUAAAGGGUGUGAAGAGGAUACUGACCCACCAGAAAGAGACCCCACUGCUAGAACGAAUAAGAUGUGCUGAAAGCCGGAGCAUAACUUGGCCAUUCCCAAGAUUUAACAACAAACUAACUACCCAUCAUUAACAGUAAAGAAAGAAAACAAUCAGUAAGAGAUUAUAUAGACCUAAGAGAUGUUACAGACCGAAGAAGAACCUAUG
rnacentral:lncRNA from 1 species